AGAGGUCGGCUCUGGAGAGUGUUGAGUCGGAGGAGACCUCAGGCAGCAGGCAGCUGGGGCCAUGGCCUCCGACCUGGACUUCUCACCUCCUGAGGUGCCCGAGCCCACGUUCCUGGAGAACCUGCUGCGGUAUGGACUCUUCCUGGGGGCCAUCUUCCAGCUCAUCUGUGUGCUGGCCAUCAUCGUGCCUGUGCCCAAGUCCCACGAGGCGGAGGCAGAACCGUCUGAGCCCCGAAGUACAGAGGUGACGAGGAAGCCUAAGGCCACUGCUCCUUCUGCAAACAAGAGGCCCAAGAAGGAGGCCAAGAAGAAGCGGUAGAAGAGAGAUGGAGACUAAAGUCCUGACAACUUGAGAGAGCCAGAACUCGGACUUGGACCCAGUCCUUGGCCCUCUUCUCGAUAUUUAACAAAUGUUUGGUGAGUAUCAGCAGGCCGGGGCUGUGAGGGCCCCACCUGCUGGAGGCCGGGCUGGAUCCCAGCAGGAGGGGCUUCUGCUGAGUGUUUCUGUUCACAGACAUUCACUGAGAGUCUGCUCGAGGCUCAUGCCAUGCUGCGGGGGUGGGGGGUGUGCGGAAGUAAGGAGGCUUCCCGGGAGCCCAAAGUGUGCCUGGCCCAGUGGGAGACCAAUCGACUGAGGCGUGUGCAUAGCCUGUCCAGCGGGGGAGCAGUGGGUGGGGGCGCCCAUUCAGUCUUGGGGGGCAGCACCCGGCAGAGGGACUCCGAAUGACUGAGCGGAGUCUUAAACGCCCAGCAGGAAUUGAAACCAAAGGAAAUCAUUCUGGUAAAGCAAGGACCUGACCUCUAGAGCCCACCCAUCCACUUCCUGGAGAGGGGGCAGCUCUGAAAUCACAGGAGCAGGGCUGCCUUGGUAGGUCUGACUCCUUUAAAUUGCUCCCCAUUGAGGCUGUUGGCCAGAGAACAGCCCUAGGAAAGCAAGGGUGGUCCUCUGCCCCACCCGCCCCUCACUCCACACGUACCUUUGGACAGAGUUUGCAGCAUUGACCCUUCUGGGACCCCUACCCUUAACUGGUUUUCCUCCUACGUCACUGGUUCCUCCUAAUCAAAGGGGCCCGGGGCUCAGUCCUUGAUCCUCUCUACUCUGCCUGCACUCCCUCGGAGACAGCAUCCAGGCUUGUGGCUUUAUGUAUUUAUUUUGGUCUUUUUAGGGCCGCACCUGCAGCCUAUGGAGGUUCUCAGGCUAGGGGUCGAAUUGGAGACGUAGCCACCGGCCUACACUACAGCCACAGCAACGCGGGAUCUGAGCCGAGUCUGCAACCUACAUCACAGCUUACGGCAACGCCGGAUCCUUAACCCACUGAGCAAGGGCAGGGAACCAACCUCAUGGUUCCUAGUCAGAUUCGUUAACCACUGAGCCACGACAGGAACUCCAGCAGGAUCUUUAUAAGGGAAAGAACAAAGGUAUGAAAGUGAGGGAGGAGAUGUGAUGAUGGAAGCAGAAGUUGGAAUGAUAUGGGGACACAAGCCAGGGAAUAUGGGGGUGGCCUCUGGAAACCGGCAGAGGCAAGGUACCAACUCCUCCCCCCCACCGCCGCCCCAGAGCCUCCAGAAGGAACACAGCUCUGCCAGCACCUUGAUUUCAGUCCAGUGACACCCAUUUUGGACUCCUGACCUCAAAAAACUAGAAUAUUACAAUUUGUGUUGUUUUAAGCCACUAAGAUUGUGGUAACUUGCCACAGCAGCAGUAGGAAAGGAAUGCCCCUUACUUUCCUCUCAACAUUACUCAGGAAAGCCUUCUCUAGCCACCUAAUUUACAUUUCUAACCUUUCCCCCAAACGGUCUAUCCCUCACCCCUCAUUUUUUUCUCCUUAGAACAUACUGCCAUUGAACAUACUAUAUAUUUUAGUAACUUUAUUUACGGUCUUAUCCCCUCCUUGGAAUGUGAGCUCCAAGAAGAAAGGAGUUUUAUUGCUGUUCUUGCUUAUAGACCAAAGUCCCCACGGCCUAGAAGAGUGCCUGGCACAUAGCAGUGCUCAAUAAAUAAUUGCAGCGUGGGUGAUGGUAGGAGAAGGUGGCUUGACCUGACUUUGUAGCUUAAGUGGGCCCAGACACUUUACAUGCCCAAUAGUACGACAUUCUCACAACAGCCCCAUGAUGCUGGUAGCAUUAGCACCCCCACAGAGGGGGACGUGGGAGUGCCUGGAAUUGAACUCAGGCAGGCUGACUCCAGGGCCCACUCUCUGAGUCAUGCUGCUGUUUCCUCCCUUUCUGCCCUGGAAUUCUCAAGGGGAAGGGGUGGUUCUCUGGGAGAGAAAAGGUCGGGCUCAGGUGCUGGGGACUUUACUACUCAAAGGACGAAAUCACUAAUGGUAAAUUUAGUGGCGUUUGUUAUAUUUACAAUGUUGUGCAACCACCAUCACCAUCUAGUUCCAAACUGUUUUUGUACUCCAGGAGAAAACUGCACGCCCAUUAAGCAGUCUCUCCCCCAUUCUCUAUUUCCCCCAGUCCUAGGCAAUCACUAAUCUGCUAUCUGAUUUCUUUUGCUUAGAAUUAUGUUUUUUUUUUUUUUUUUCCUUUUUUGGCUGCAUCCACAGCAUGUGGAAUUUCCCCGGGUAGGGAUCGAACCUGUGCCACAAUGGUGACCUGGGCCGCUACAAUGACAAUGCCAGAUCCUUGACCUGCUGUACCACAAGGGAACUCCUAGCAUGAUGUUUUUAAAGUUCAUUCAUGUCGUAGCAUGUAUCAAUACUUCUUUCGUCUUUAUGGCUGAAUAGUAUUCAUGUGUGUGUGUGUUAAGGCAACUUGAAUGAGAUUUGGAGCCAGUCACAUUUUGAAUAUGGAUCCUAUGGACAUGUGGCUGAGUGGUGUUAGGCAAAGGAAUUCACAUCUCUGAUGUUCAGAGUCCACCAAAUAGAGAUCAUUCAACGACCUUGCUCGGUUAUUAUAAAAAUUAGACAUACUAUGUAUAUGUAAGGUGCCUGGAGCAAAAUAAGCCAUUUAUAAAUGGCAGCAGUGAAAAUGAUUAUUUAGUCAGGGGCAAAUUUAUCAUUAAAACAUUCUGACCUCAAGUCAGCCGUGAUCUUGGCUUUCUUGCAAGACAGACAUGUCCUUAGCCCCCGAGUCCUGGGAAACCAAAGUCAACAGAGGGGUUCCAGGGCUGAGCUCAUGUUUGCUUUUGUAUUUGUAGAGCUCCUUAUGUUGCCAGUAGAUUUUGUCCUCGGUUUUUCUUUCCUUAUUUGUUUGACAGUCUUUCAAAUCAUGGAGGUUGAAAGCUCCGUGGCAGCGAAGGAGAGAGGAACUACCUUUAAAAAAAAUUUAAGUAAGUACAUGAAAGGAGUUCAUUAGUCAUCAGGAAAAUGCAAAUUAAAACCACAGUGUGAUUCCAGAAUGACUAAAAUCGAAGACUGACCUGAGCAGAUGUUGAGGGGAGUAUGGAGUGACUGGGAUGCUCGUACAUCGCGGGUGGGAGGAUAAAAUGGUACAACCACGUUAAAAAACUAUUUGGGAGCUUCUUUUUUAAAAAGUACCGCAGUUUGGGUCCACAAUGCGCAAACCAUCAUCAAUUCAAGACACAGAGAUCUGGACUCAGCUCCUGGCCGCUGAACAAAUUCGCAGAUAAAUUCCUUUAGCAUUCUAGGAACAACUUUUUUAAAAAAAAUUAUGAGAAAACAUUUGUUCUCUUCUUGAAAAUAAAAUUGUUUUUACAAAAAAA
rnacentral:lncRNA from 1 species